rnacentral:rRNA from 1 species
AUUGAACGCUGGCGGCAGGCCUAACACAUGCAAGUCGAGCGGAUGAAGGGAGCUUGCUCCUGGAUUCAGCGGCGGACGGGUGAGUAAUGCCUAGGAAUCUGCCUGGUAGUGGGGGAUAACGUCCGGAAACGGGCGCUAAUACCGCAUACGUCCUGAGGGAGAAAGUGGGGGAUCUUCGGACCUCACGCUAUCAGAUGAGCCUAGGUCGGAUUAGCUAGUUGGUGGGGUAAAGGCCUACCAAGGCGACGAUCCGUAACUGGUCUGAGAGGAUGAUCAGUCACACUUGAACUGAGACACGGUCCAGACUCCUACGGGAGGCAGCAGUGGGGAAUAUUGGACAAUGGGCGAAAGCCUGAUCCAGCCAUGCCGCGUGUGUGAAGAAGGUCUUCGGAUUGUAAAGCACUUUAAGUUGGGAGGAAGGGCAGUAAGUUAAUACCUUGCUGUUCUGACGUUACCAACAGAAUAAGCACCGGCUAACUUCGUG